rnacentral:rRNA from 1 species
UAAUGUCUUCGGACCAAAGAUUUAUUGCCUUUAGAUGGGCCCGCGUUGGAUUAGAUAGUUGGUGGGGUAAUGGCCUACCAAGUCGACGAUCCAUAGCUGGUCUGAGAGGAUGAUCAGCCACACUGGGACUGAGACACGGCCCAGACUCCUACGGGAGGCAGCAGUGGGGAAUAUUGGACAAUGGGCGAAAGCCUGAUCCAGCAAUGCCGCGUGAGUGAUGAAGGCCUUAGGGUUGUAAAGCUCUUUUACCAGGGAUGAUAAUGACAGUACCUGGAGAAUAAGCUCCGGCUAACUCCGUGCCAGCAGCCGCGGUAAUACGGAGGGAGCUAGCGUUGUUCGGAAUUACUGGGCGUAAAGCGCACGUAGGCGGCUUUUCAAGUCAGGGGUGAAAUCCCGGGGCUCAACCCCGGAACUGCCCUUGAAACUGGAUGGCUAG